CCUACGGGAGGCAGCAGUGGGGAAUAUUGCACAAUGGGGGAAACCCUGAUGCAGCGACGCCGCGUGAGCGAUGAAGUAUUUCGGUAUGUAAAGCUCUAUCAGCAGGGAAGAAAAUGACGGUACCUGACUAAGAAGCCCCGGCUAACUACGUGCCAGCAGCCGCGGUAAUACGUAGGGGGCAAGCGUUAUCCGGAUUUACUGGGUGUAAAGGGAGCGUAGACGGUCCUGCAAGCCAGAUGUGAAAGCCCGGGGCUCAACCACGGGACUGCAUUUGAAACUGCAAGGCUAGAGUGUAGGAGAGGCAGGCGGAAUUCCUAGUGUAGCGGUGAAAUGCGUAGAUAUUAGGAGGAACACCAGUAGCGAAGGCGGCCUGCUGGACGAUGACUGACGUUGAGGCUCGAAAGCGUGGGGAGCAAACAGGAUUAGAUACCCUUGUAGUC
rnacentral:rRNA from 1 species